GAGGAGUUGGAUUUUGGGCUCGACGAGAGGACGAUCUAGCUAGUAUGGUAUAGCGAUUGCCACCCUGGUUGUAUUUCUUUCCCGCCUUUAGUAGUCAUUUAAAUAAUGGUUCAGUUAGCUGAUUUUUAUGAUUGUUUGAAUGUUGGUGAUCUGGUUUUGGUAGAUCUGUGGAUGCUUUCGUUAUUUAUGCAUGUGAACUGAGGUUUGUGGAUUUGGAUGUUGAUUCUAUGGAUAUCGGAUUUUCUUGUAUUUACAUAUCGUGGUUUUCUACCCCUCGAGGUAGUUGAUUUUCAAAAUAGAGUUUCCGUGUGGGAAAUAGUUUUAAAAAGAUUUUUGAAUGGUUUUUCAUGAUGAAUGAAUUAGAGUUAAAAAAUAAAAGCUUCCAUGUGGGAAGCACUUUUAAAUAGGAUGAUUGUAGUACUGUGCAUUGCAUCAUCCAGCGCCUAAGGAGUGCUUAGAGG
rnacentral:lncRNA from 1 species